rnacentral:piRNA from 1 species
CAGGAAGCCAGAUGACACAUGAGCACCU